UACGUAGGGUGCAAGCGUUGUCCGGAAUUAUUGGGCGUAAAGAGCUCGUAGGCGGUUUGUUGCGUCGGCUGUGAAAUCCCGAGGCUCAACCUCGGGUCUGCAGUCGAUACGAGCAAGCUAGAGUGUUGCAGGGGAGACUGGAAUUCCUGGUGUAGCGGUGAAAUGCGUAGAGAUCAUGAGGAAGACCAGUGGCGAAGGCGGGUCUCUGGACAGUUCCCGACACUGAGGCACGAAGGCCAGGGGAGCAAACGGG
rnacentral:rRNA from 1 species